rnacentral:lncRNA from 1 species
CACCAACAGAAUACAAACAAGAAAGGGUUAUGGCUGUAGGGCUGUAGGGCUGAGCUACAGCUGUAUCGAGGUAAAACAGAUUGGCUUAAUUGCAAGAGCUUUGCAUGAUGAGGUUCUGAUGGGAGAAUAUCUUAUUGCUUAGCCAGAUGUUGUGAGUUUACCCUGACUGUGAGAGUGAUGACACAGCUUACUUGCUCUUCAGAGCCAUGUAGUAUUAGGCAGGGAGUUGGAGUACUUUAGUCAUCACAACUUUGAAGGUUUGCUGACAUCAGGAGAAGCACCACGUGCUGUAUCAACGUAGGCUGUGUGAAAAUUAAAGCUUCUACAUCCAUAUGUACUCUGGGACAAGAGCUACACUGUGGGAAACCACCUGAACCAACACUGGAAGUCAUGAAAAUAGCUGCACUAAGGCCUUUUGUCUGCUGCUUCAUCAGUU